GAAUGUGAGUGAUAUGAUUGAAAUUAUUUAAGAAUUAGCUUUCACAUUUUACUUCCAAAACAUUGCCCAUGCUGUGUACACACUUCGCCCUAAAAAUAUUUUUCUCUCAACUCAAUCGCAAGCCUUCGACUUUUUUAGUUUCUCAGAUCUCCUCUUCUCCGGUGGUUGGGCUCCUUGCCGGCACCGGAGAGGCUCUUCUCUGUUUUCUCCUUUGUUAUAUUUGUGGUUAUAGGGUUGUGUCGCGGAUUAAGAGUUGAUUGAACUUGUGUUGUGUUCGGGUGUGUUUGGCGUGGUUGGUGACAGUUCGAUUAUUUAAUCUGGUUCGUGGUGGUUGUCAUGGCCGGUUCAGAUAUAAGAUUACUUGUUGUAUUGAAUUUGGCCAGUUGGCUUGUCAAGCUUGGCUUUGAAUCGCCAAAAGUUUCCGACUCACUUAUUCCUAUCUACUAGUUAUUGUCUGGUGCGGAUUUCAGGAGCCAUAUCGACGGGUUAUUAUAUGGCGGGCCUAUAUAUUCCGGGCAUGGAGUCUUCUUGGUCCCUUUUCUUCUGGUAGUCGUAGCUUGUUGGAAUUUGAUUGCUACUGCGUGUCUUCUCUUCUUAUUAAAGUGUUGGUGGACGGUGUUUGUUAAGGUCUCGUUUGUGGGAUUUUUCCUUUGAAUUGUAUUUUGCUGUGGAUGCAUCUACAUGCUUCUUCUCUUCCAUUGUGUUGUGGAUUGAAGUAUCAAUAUGAAGCACUGGUUUCGAUCUACAGCUUUUUUUCUUGAGAGGAAGUGAUCAUUCUCUUGUUUGUAGACGGUUGAGCUUGGGUACACGAGUGUCCGUGUGUAAGAGCUGUUGGUCGUUUUUGGCGUCUUUCCCUCUUGGAGUUUCAAGAUUCGAUCUUGUGCCUUGCUCUCUCGUGUCUCUGGUUCAUGGUGACAGUUGUGUGGUUCGUAGUUAUUGGCUCUGUUUUCGCUUUGGUCUUGCGAUUGUUCUGCCGAGUGUGUACCCUUUGGGUUUGUAGUUGUGACAUGUGUUGGUUUUUGGUCUUCUUAAGUUUGUGGUUCUUGUGGUCAGCUCAAGCAUCUAUAUCGUAAUGGUGUUUGAUUGUCAUCGCUAUGGAGUUUAUUAUCAGCUUCUUCGCUUUCGAAAGCACUGCAAAUGGUCUCUUUUAUUUCAGUAUGUGGUUUGGUUUUAUAUUUCGAACGUGUUAGUAUGCUUCUACAUUAUGGGACUUUGUCUUCAAAAUGUACAACUUAUUAACUCUCGACUUUUGGUUUUGAAAGGAUUGCAUUCUUUGUCAGUUUUGUGCCGUAACAAUGGUUCAAAUGUUCUAAUAAAUUCAGCAGAUGACAAAAAAAAACAUUGCCCAUGCUAUGGAUGUUUUUUUUGUUUGAACUUUGUGCUAUCGAUGUUAUGUUCAAAUAAUAAUAUUUUCUGGUAAAUGUUCAAAUUUUGUUAAGACAAU
rnacentral:lncRNA from 1 species